rnacentral:rRNA from 1 species
UACGUAGGGUGCGAGCGUUAAUCGGAAUUACUGGGCGUAAAGCGUGCGCAGGCGGUGAUGUAAGACAGUUGUGAAAUCCCCGGGCUCAACCUGGGAAUUGCAUCUGUGACUGCAUCGCUAGAGUACGGUAGAGGGGGAUGGAAUUCCGGCGUGUAGCAGUGAAAUGCGUAGAUAUGCGGAGGAACACCGAUGGCGAAGGCAAUCCCCCUGGACCUGUACUGACGGCUCAUGCAC